AGAAAUCCGUGAUGACCGGCUCCUUCCCGGUAUUCCCACUUUAUAGCUUCCGGUAAUCGCUCUCUCUCCUCCUUUUGUUCACCUUCAGUUACCGGUCAACCAGUUUAUUUCCCACGAUGGAUUGGUCAAAGCGGUGUUGCCAUCUCCAGAACAAUCCAGGUCCUCUUCCUUGCCAAUCCCCACCGCUGCUCUCUUCCUCCCCAAUUCUCAUCGCUCAAGUUCCAAAAAAAAAUUCCAUCGCUGUCACUCGAGUGCUCCACCCGGUGGGGCGGCGUCCCAUCUCCCUCCAUGGCUGCCGUGUCUGUACCGACGUAUCAAGGUUGAACAUCCCCAGGACGAGCUCCUAUGUGCCAUGGCCCUGCUGUGUCUAGACAGCUGCAGCUCCCCACGACCUCACCGGUUCGUCCGAUCUAUGCCUGCUCGGCAUGUAGCAACACAACCUUCUUCCCCCACUCCUCGGGCGCCAUCGCCGUCCACGCAUACUGUACCAAGAGUCACACAGGGUGCGCUGGCUUCAUCCCGCUCCUUCGAGCUGGGGAACACCCACAGGUUGAGGUGGCAUGGCUCCGCCAUCACCAUCGUCAGCCAAGUACACUUCGUCGGCCGUCGGUGCACUAUCAUCGGUUCAGAGGAGGAUAGGCGGAGCCUGGCAGGAUCAAGAUGCUUUCUGCGGUGGUGUAUCAUCUGUGCCAUCCUCUUCUGGAUUGUUUUCUUCAUUUGUUCCUUACUUUUCUCCACGGGUUUAUCAGUUUGUUGCUUUCUGCUCCCUAAAGAAGAUUUUACUUUGUGAUGUAGGCCAUUGGUGUUUUUCAGCGGCACCUAGCUAUUGUUAGUCCAGCGCCAUAGCGCUCUGCCAUCAAGCUGGGUAUCCGAUGAGUGCAGGUCAUCUUUACAGGCCAUCAGUGCUGAAGACACACCCUACUAUCCAAUAUUUGAUUACCCCUACAUGGAAGCAGAUGUGAAGCUAACCCAAUUUAAUAACUGUUUUUUCAAUAGGAAUCCAGAUCGUGGAAAAAUUAUAUCCUUUUCUUCCCAAGAUCACUGCAAUUCAGCUCCGUACAUGAUAGCCUGUAUUUUGUGUGCUAAUUAUGUUGUUCCAUUAUAGAUGCCUAAUUCUGCUACCUGACAAACACAGUCAAAGUAGCUCUUAUUUGAUCCACUCUCCUAGCAUCGGAGGAAAAGAUAAUCUUGCAACAUUACUAUAUAUCAAAUGCCAAUAUCAGUAACUGUGCAAAAAUAAAACAGAAAGCAGUAGACAGGAAGUUCUUUUAUAAGGUUAGUAUGCUGUAUUCACAUAUAUCCACUUCAGAAUUUUUGUAUGUUCAGAUCAGAAAAUUGCAUCUUCUCCAUGAAAUAAAGAUUUAUCUUUGACAGAUAUUACAGGGAAACACAAUGAAGGAAUAUGUCCCAACCAAGAGCUUUCACCAACAAAGAGAACAACUGAAGGAAAGAACAACUUAUACAUUUGGGGAUGUUCACUUUUUCUCACAUGUUCUCACUUCUCUGCUUUGCUUUGAAGACAAAUAUUGGUACUAGCAUUCUUUUUCCAAGUAUUUUUUGGUAAUUUUAUUGCGCAUUACGAGUCAUCCUUUUUUGUUACUUUGUCGGAUAUGCCUUAUGAUAUUAAUGUGAGCUUCUGUUAUGUCCACAUAGUUGCAGAUGACUUGCCAUUUGAUCAGUGUGUUGGAUACUUUAGUUCAUACUAAGGGAGCUUAUUGCGUGUUCAGCGACAGCCGACUGUACCUAAUCCUAUCAAGAAAAAGAUGUUGGUAGAAAACUUAGCUCUGUGGCGAUAGAUACAAUAGAGUCCUAGCCGUCGGUUCCCAAAUGUGGCAGCAAAUCCAAGACUGUGUUAUCUUCAAAGCUUUGAGAGAAGAAAAUACUCUGUUCAGAUUCUCAGAUUUUAGUUGUCGUACCGACCUAUUCAUGUGCUCAUGUUUUUUUAUGUUAUUUAGAAAAAAUGAAUCCAUCUAAAUGCUACUGUGGAACAAGACCAUGUUUAUGCAGCCUAUCCAACCUUCUAUCCACUACCGCCUGCAGUUAUUCAGUACUAAAACUACUCACGGAAUGCCUCCAAUUUGUCACGGCAUGUCUACUUGGAGACACAAUGUGAUCAGUUCCUACUUGCAAGCACAAUGUGAUAAGUUUAGACAAUGCCUAGAAUGUGUUACAUGCAUUUCUUAUUAGUGAUGCACAUCAAGUCAAGGCAUAAUUGGAGUCCCAAAUCUUGCAUCUCACGUUGUUGUUAAAAAAUGUGACCAAUUAGUCUACUAAUUAAUACAAAACAUCUAUAGAUUGCCUGGUUUAAGUUCUGUCACUUUACUCAGCAUCUGUAUAAUGGCAUCUUUUCUUGCCUCUCCGGUAUUUUGUUUAUAUAUUGAUCUGGUGGGAAUUAUUUGCCUUACGGAGAAAAGCACUGAAAAGCGGUACGACCAGAGGCAGUAUAAUUCCUAUCCGAUGAACAUAAUCUGAACCUUUUUUGUACAUGAAUCUGAACUAAUUUUUGCUUGAGGACUUGUGCUUGCUGUCC